GAUGAACGCUAGCGGCAGGCUUAAUACAUGCAAGUCGAGGGGUAGCAAGAUUGUAGCAAUACAAUUGUUGACGACCGGCAAACGGGUGCGGAACACGUACACAACCUUCCUACAAGUGGGGAAUAGCCCAGAGAAAUUUGGAUUAAUACCCCGUAACAUAGCGAUGUGGCAUCACAUUGCUAUUAUAGCUUCUGCGCUUGUUGAUGGGUGUGCGGCUGAUUAGAUAGUUGGCGGGGUAACGGCCCACCAAGUCUACGAUCAGUAGCUGAUGUGAGAGCAUGAUCAGCCACACGGACACUGAGACACGGGCCCGACUCCUACGGGAGGCAGCAGUAAGGAAUAUUGGACAAUGGACGCAAGUCUGAUCCAGCCAUGCCGCGUGAAGGAUUAAGGUCCUCUGGAUUGUAAACUUCUUUUAUAAGGGACGAAAAAAGGUCUUUCUAGAUCGUCUGACGGUACCUUAUGAAUAAGCACCGGCUAACUCCGUGCCAGCCGCCGCGGUAAAAC
rnacentral:rRNA from 1 species